AGUGUAGGGUUCCUAGCGAGCCCAACCUCCCACCCGUGUUUACUGUACCUUAGUUGCUUCGGCGGGCCCGCCAUUCAUGGCCGCCGGGGGCUCUCAGCCCCGGGCCCGCGCCCGCCGGAGACACCACGAACYCUGUCUGAUCUAGUGAAGYCUGAGUUGAUUGUAUCGCAAUCAGUUAAAACUUUCAACAAUGGAUCUCUUGGUUCCGGCAUCGAUGAAGAACGCAGCGAAAUGCGAUAACUAGUGUGAAUUGCAGAAUUCCGUGAAUCAUCGAGUCUUUGAACGCACAUUGCGCCCCCUGGUAUUCCGGGGGGCAUGCCUGUCCGAGCGUCAUUGCUGCCCAUCAAGCACGGCUUGUGUGUUGGGUCGUCGUCCCCUCUCCGGGGGGGACGGGCCCCAAAGGCAGCGGCGGCACCGCGUCCGAUCCUCGAGCGUAUGGGGCUUUGUCACCCGCUCUGUAGGCCCGGCCGGCGCUUGCCGAACGCAAAUCAAUCUUUUUCCAGGUUGACCUCGGAUCAGGUAGGGAUACCCGCUGAACUUAAGCAUAU
rnacentral:rRNA from 1 species